rnacentral:rRNA from 1 species
GACAGAGGUGCCGAGCGUUAGGCGGAAUCACUGGGCUUAAAGCGUGUGUAGGCGGGUCGUUAAGUGCCUUGUGAAAUCCCACAGCUCACCUGUGGAACUGCUUGGCAUACUGGCGAUCUUGAGCCACUUAGGGGCAACCGGAACAAACGGUGGAGCGGUGAAAUGCGUAGAUAUCGAGAGGAACACCUGCGGCGAAGGCGGGUUGCUGGGCUGACACUGACGCUGAUUGUGCGAAAGCUAGGGGAGCGAACGGG